rnacentral:lncRNA from 1 species
AGAAGCGAGGCAGCCGUGAGGCGGAGGACAGGCUGGGGGAUCCCAAAGGGUGCGCUCCAGCCCCCAACCCAGGCACUGGGACUCUGGUGGCACCCUGGGUGGCAGGCAAGCCUUGAAAUCAAGUGCACGAGCCUUGGAAAGGAGGACCGGGAGAGUUAUGGCAUUUAUGAAUGAAGAAGAGAAAGAGAAUCACUCGGAUGGGAAAAGUUAACUGGAUUGUUCCCACCUGCAUGGAUCACCGGAAGCAACUUAGCCGUCUCGCCUUGCGGCCUGGAACCCCUGGCAAUUUCCGGAGCACCGGCAAGAGACUUUUGCACAGUUUCUGCUUGGAGUCUACCGACUGUCUGUCUCAGAGGUCUGGACAGCUGCUUGUUACAUUUGGCUCACGCUAGCUUAAAAAAGGAAUUUAUGGACCUUACUGCAGAACGUCCCAAUUCUUCAGGCCAAGCUCCAGGAAAUUAAGAAACAUGCCAUUAGUUUUAGCAAACAAUUUGAACAAAGUAAAACCAGAUCUCCCACCAAAGGCCGAGGACCAUGAGGGGUCUGAGUGCCCCUGGCCCUGUUUGUGGACUCUGCGGGUCGUGGAGGAGCCAUGAAGUGGGAAGAGAGCUUGGGUGAUACAGGAUGGUGUGCGUGACAGUCCUCCCUGUGUCUUCUUUGCUACCAUAUUUAUCAUAGCUUAGAUGUGUGUGGCCUGGUGGCACCAAAGGUGAACAGAAAGCAUUUUUGGGGCGCCAUGGCCCAGACCUCAGCCUGAACGUUGUGGGAAGCCAGUGGGUGUCUGCAUGUGUUGGCGAGAACCAGUGGGCAUCUCCUUGGAAGCCAGUCCCCAAGGUGGCUCUAGAUGGCUUACUCCUGCAUCUUGCCAAAUCCACAGGGUCCAGCUGUGUCUCCAGGGCUGCGUGGCUUAUUGAAAAAGAGAGUGUAUGGUGGAUUUCAAUAUCUAUAUUCUACAAAAAAUGUAAAAGGGGCAGGGGACGGGAACAAAGAAACCAGUGCUGGUGAUCCUGCCCCCACAGUAAGGUCUGCUUUAGUGUGGACAUGGGACAGGGGCCAGCCCCUGCUGCUCCCUGGGGGAACACAGGUCCGUGGGGGUGGCUCACCGUCAUGUAUGUGAUUUUGAUGUUUGUACAUUUGUUGUACCACAUGAACCAGUCUUGGACGGCUGUUCUGAGUAAAUGGGAUGAUGUGGGUAAAGCCCCCAAGACCAGAGCCUGGCACAGGGCCGUGCUGGAUAAUGCUGACUCAUGGUGAUGAGGGGAAGGAGGAGGCAGGAUGCCAUGGGUGAGGAGUCCAGGCUCCAGUGCUGCUGAACCACCAUCCACCAGUAUGAUCUCAGCAAGCCUCUCUCCACCUGGACCCAGAUGAUUCACCCGUUAAACAUCCCAGGCACAUUGAAGGGAGAUGAACAGCGUCCAGCAUGGUCCUCAGCUGUGAGAAGCCAUACACUCGCCUUUUCCACCCUACAACUUUCCGUCAUCUGGGGUGCAGGUUUCUUUCCUCUCUUUUUACUUAUUACAAGGUAAAAUACAGUCUUAUUACAGAAAACUAGAAACCAGAAAAGCCCAUCACACAGUCAUUCAUUCAACAAAUGCGUAUUGGGAAGGGUGGGGAUGAGCCCCUGGUGGAAAUGGGGUGAAGCUGUGGACUUUCUCUGGGUGCGAUGAAGGCUGACGGAGGGCUUUGAGCAUCCUCAAGAUUCAGAAGUCUGUUCUCAGUCAUCAGCAGCUGUACCAGGAGAGGAAGAACCUCUGAAGUGUUCUGGCUCCAAAAGCUAGUGAAAGUGCAGAUUUCCUGAGAAGGAGUGAAGCUUAGGGCCCUGCCAGGCAGUGAUGCUUUCUCAACUUUGGGGGCAGUAAAAUGUACAGACUCUGGGGAAGGAGACCAGGAAGGAGGCUGCAAAGUGUGCAUGCUCUGGGAAGGGGGCAGGGAAGGCUGGCAAAAAGCUGUUGGGGACCCAGCCAGGCUGCUUCCCUUGGAGGCCCAGCCUGAGAUGUGUUUCCCACCAUAUAUGGCAGAAAUGAUUUCAGGUGCUAUGUAGAUAAGCCACGAACUAUCAUUGAAUCUUUUCUUGGUUGUAUUGUGAAAGAAAAAGUCUCUGUUGGGUGCUGGUGUAUCUUCGACACCACUUAACACUUGUCAAGCUCUCCUUUACUGAGGUAAAGCAGUCCUCAGGCUCAGAGCUUGUGACCAGGGAGCGGUAUCUAGCCAAAAUUUUAUUUCAAUGCUUUGUUUUCAUUGUCUUUAAAACAAAAGAUGGUUAUCUUCCAUUUGCCAUGAAAGAUACUGCUUCCCAUUUCUGUUUUUUACUCAUUUUUCAUUAAGGUAUAAUUUGCAUGCAGUAAAGUCUCGUCUUUUUAGUGUACAGUUCUGUGGAAUUUCGAUAAAUGUAUCCAGUGUGCAACCAUCACAUCAAGAUAUAGAAGGGUUCCUUCACCCCUAAAUCCUUCCUUGGGGAUGACAACCUCUCUUCACCCUCAGUCCUUUGCAACUAAUAAUCUGUUUUCUUUUCCUAUAGUUUUGUCUUUUCUAGCAUGUCCCAUAAAUGGAAUCUUAUAGCACGUAGCCUUUUGAGUCUUGCUUCUCUCACUUAGCAGAAUGCAUCUGAUAUCCAUUCACAUUGUGCCUGUAUCAGUAGUUCAUUCAUUUUUAAUAAUGAGUGGUGUUCAGUUGUAGGCCUACACUAUAAUUUGUAGAGGGACAUUAGGAUUGUUUCCAGAUUUGGCAGUUACAAAUAAAGCCCCUAUAAACAUUCACGUACAAGUUUUUCAUGAGCAUGGGUUUUCAUUUCUCUUGGGUAAGUACCGAUAAGUAGGAUUGCUAUGUUGUCUAAUACAUGCAUGUUUAACUUUGUAAGAAAUGGCCAAGCUGUUUUUCAGAGUGGCUAUACUAUUUUGCAUUCCUACCAGCAAUGUACGAGAGUUCCAGUUGCUCCAUAUCCUCAUCAGCACUUGAUGUUGUCAGAUUUUUUUUUUUGUUUUUGUUAGUCUAAUGGGUAUGUACUAGUAUCUCACUGUGGUUUUAGUUUGUAUUUUCCUGAUGACUAAUGAUGUUUAACACCUUUUUAUGGGCUUAUUUAAAAUCACUAUAUUUUCUUUGGUGAAGAUUUCAAACCUUUUGCCCAUUUUAAAAUUCGAAUUGUUUGUGUUUUAUUAUUGAACUUAUUGAGUAUUUACAUAUUCUGGAUACAAGUUCUUUUCUAGAUAUGUUAUUAGCAAAUUAUUCUGCUAGCUUUCUUAUUAAUUUUCUUAAUGAUGUCUCUUGGAGAUUGUAUUAAUUAGUCUGUUCUCAUGCUGCUAAUAAAGACAUACCUGAGACUGAGUAAUUUAUAAAGGAAAGAGGUUUAAUUGACUCACAGUUCAGCAAGGCUGGGGGAGCCUCAGGAAAUGUACAAUCAUGGAGGAAGGGGAAGCAAAUAUGUCUUUCUUCACAUGGCAGCAGGAAGGAGAAAUGCCAAGCAAAAGGGGGAAAAGCCCCUUAUAAAACCAUCAGAUCUCGUGAGAACUCACUCACUAUCACAAGAGCAGCAGCAUGGAGGUAACUGCCCCCAUGAUUCAAUUACCUCCCACCAGAUCCCUCCCAUGACAUGUGGAGAUUUUGGGAACUACAAUUCAAGAUGAGAGCUGGGUGGGAACACAGCCAAACCAUAUCAGAGAUCAUAGGUUGUUAAUUUUGAUCAAGUAUAAUUUAUCAAUUUUUUCUUUUGUGGAUUAUAUUUUUGGGGCCAUAUCUGAGAAAUAUUUACUUAAUCUAGGGUCACAAAGAUUAUCUUCUAUGUUUUCUCCUGAAGGUUUUAUAGUUUAAAGUUUUACAUUGAAGUCUAUUAUCUAUUUUGAGUGAAUAUUUUGAUAUAGUGUGAUAUAUGAAUGGA